CUUUUCCACGCUGAAAAUUGCCAUUUAAAAGGCUGCAGUGGGCUUCGUGAGGUUUAAGGGGUUUAUUAGUUUUAAAAACCAUGUUCCAUGUUUGGAGGGAGGGGAAACAGCCGCCUUCUUUUCACAUUACGUCAAUCCACAGGCGUCUGUAAUUUACAUUUUUUUAAAACUCAAAUGUUCAGAAAUAAUGGAAAGGCUGCUUGAAAAAAAAGCAGCUGAAAUAAAAACUGGGGGGAAAUGUGUAUUAUACAAAAACCAGACCUGUGAGCCUGAGGCGGGACACACCGAUGACCUGGGGAGCUGAUUAAUGAGGCCAGCCCAAGGAAGCCCAGAGCACAACUCUGGGAUUUACCUGGAGGCCGCCUGCUCUGAGCGAGGCUCGGGAGACCCCACCUGCCAUUCCUGCUCCCACGCAGCCUGGACCUGGACCUGUGGGCAGACAGGCUGAGGACGAGGCUGAACAGAAAGUAAGAAUGAAGCAUGCUUUGUGUUUCUUUAAGAAUCUAGCUUCUCCCUUUGCAUUCCCUCUUCCUCUCUUUCCUUGGAAGCUGGCAAUGAUUCAUCAUGUAUAAAUUGAAGAUAAUCCCAUUUCCUGAUGACUCUUACAGACCAGGGUUGGGGGAGAAGGGUCUCCUAAGAACUUCCAUCUCUCUCUGCUAU
rnacentral:lncRNA from 1 species